rnacentral:snRNA from 1 species
UGAAGAGUUCUAGACGCGAUAAUU